rnacentral:rRNA from 1 species
AUGAACGCUGGCGGCGUGCCUAAUACAUGCAUGUCGAGCGAACAGACGAGGAGCUUGCUCCUCUGACGUUAGCGGCGGACGGGUGAGUAACACGUGGAUAACCUACCUAUAAGACUGGGAUAACUUCGGGAAACCGGAGCUAAUACCGGAUAAUAUAUUGAACCGCAUGGUUCAAUAGUGAAAGACGGUUUUGCUGUCACUUAUAGAUGGAUCCGCGCCGCAUUAGCUAGUUGGUAAGGUAACGGCUUACCAAGGCAACGAUGCGUAGCCGACCUGAGAGGGUGAUCGGCCACACUGGAACUGAGACACGGUCCAGACUCCUACGGGAGGCAGCAGUAGGGAAUCUUCCGCAAUGGGCGAAAGCCUGACGGAGCAACGCCGCGUGAGUGAUGAAGGUCUUCGGAUCGUAAAACUCUGUUAUUAGGGAAGAACAAAUGUGUAAGUAACUAUGCACGUCUUGACGGUACCUAAUCAGAAAGCCACGGCUAACUACGUG